rnacentral:rRNA from 1 species
UACGUAGGUGGCAAGCGUUGUCCGGAAUUAUUGGGCGUAAAGCGCGCGCAGGUGGUUCUUUAAGUCUGAUGUGAAAUCUCGCGGCUCAACCGCGAGCGGUCAUUGGAAACUGGGGAACUUGAGUGCAGAAGAGGAAAGUGGAAUUCCACGUGUAGCGGUGAAAUGCGUAGAGAUGUGGAGGAACACCAGUGGCGAAGGCGACUUUCUGGUCUGUAACUGACACUGAGGCGCGAAAGCGUGGGGAGCGAACAGG